UGACCAUCUAUCUUAGCCCUGUUGGAGCCUCAGAAUCUCCAUACAAAUAUAGCAGUUGGAUCAGUUGACUUCAAAGUAACUCCCACCCUGAAAUUUCUUUCAGAUAUAUGCUAAGCAGAUCUGGAUUCUGAAACUGUUACGAUGAGGCAUGGGAUUUGAUGUAGACAAGCUACCUACGCACUCCUCUUUGUGAAGAAGAGAAGGCCUCUUUGAGUAUGAAGGCAACACUUUUCUGGGAAGAAGGUAGCACUAACAUUGCUGCAAUCCUUGCCCAAGUACUUUCCUUAGGAAGCUCUGCUAGAAAGAGCUGGAAUGGGCAUAACCAAAGCUUCCUGGAAGAGCAGAUCACUGAAGAAAGAAACUGUGCUGGUUGCAGAAGACUUGCCUUGGAUUCUGAGUGUUCAAAGAUGUGA
rnacentral:lncRNA from 1 species